rnacentral:rRNA from 1 species
UACGGAGGUGGCAAGCGUUACUCGGAUUGAUUGGGUGUAAAGGGCAUGUAGGUGGUGAAUUAAGUCGAACGUGAAAUCCCUUGGCUUAACCAAGGAACUGCGUUCGAAACUGAUUUGCUUGAGCGAUGGAGAGGAAAGGGGAAUUCCCGGUGUAACAGUGAAAUGUGUAGAUAUCGGGAGGAACACCAGUGGCGAAGGCGCCUUUCUGGACAUCUGCUGACACUGAAAUGCGAGAGCUAGGGGAGCAAACAGG